CUCAUAGAUAUUUCUGUCUUAGCUGCUGUCAUUUUAAAAGGGAAACGUGUUUCAGAGUUGAUACGGGCGACUCCAGCGCCCCUGUGUCUGGCUCUGACUGCGCACGUCCCCGUCCGUGCGCCCUCUCCUUCAGCGGAGGCACCCGGCAGAGCAGCAGGGGCAGCCAGCGGCGCAUGGGGUUUUCUCCGCGCUCCCACGCUUGGCUACACCAGGAGCGCCCCACUCCCUUUGGGCACCCGCUGCUGGCGUCGCGCCAGGGCUGAGCUGCCCAAGGACCAGAAGGGACCCUUGAGCACAGGCACCAACGCUGGCGUUUCCCCCAGUGGGAGCGGGGCUGCUGCCACGUCUUUGCGGUCGUACCCCACACAGCCGUUCUUCCUGCCGGCAACCUCCGCGUCGCCCUGCGGUGGCGGCAACAUCCCGUGCAGAGGUCCUGCUCGGCGCUUGCCGCGCCACGUGGGCUGCACCGCAAGGUCUGACGCAGGGCGGCCAAACUGGGUGGCAUUUCCCCGCCUGAAAGAGGAACUCUCCUCCCCUGGCCGCCCUUCCGCGGGCGCUGCGAGCACUCCCCCUCCGCGCGGCUGUUGGCAGGAGAAGUGCCGUGGGGGUCCCGGGGAUGAAUAUCAGGGACCGGCUGGCUGUGGCCUGGGUCCAGGCAGCUCUGAAGGAGGCCUGUUCCCGCAGAGGGAAUGGGGGCAGAGCUGGUGGGGAAGCGUCAAGCUUUUCUUGCUGAAGGAAAUGAUACAGUUUCGAAUCCAGAUUGAGAAACUUUGCAUGAAUACUUUCUUUCUUGCCUUGUGGUUUUGCCAAGGUCAGAUUUCACCAGAUUUGCCCCCCUCCCUCCAGCUCUCCUCCCCUAAAAAGGGGUACCCCACCCCCAAAAAAACAAACAAACAUGGGAGGAAGCAUGAAGGGAGCAUGGGUUACCAGCAAACAGAAAAAAAGCCAUCCAGAAAGUUUCCUCGUUCUUACUGGGGCAUAGGAGCCUCCAUGUGUCUCCGAGCCUGGUCCUCUCCUGCCAGAGAGGUUCAGUGGCCUUUCCUGUGUAAUACUUGCCACAUCGCCCUGGCAAAAGUUACAGGGGGUGAUUGCAGGCAGACAUACCCACAGGGGCUGUGA
rnacentral:lncRNA from 1 species